CCUACGGGAGGCAGCAGUAGGGAAUUUUCCGCAAUGGGCGAAAGCCUGACGGAGCAAUACCGCGUGAGGGAUGACGGCCUGUGGGUUGUAAACCUCUUUUCUCAAGGAAGAAGUUCUGACGGUACUUGAGGAAUAAGCAUCGGCUAACUCUGUGCCAGCAGCCGCGGUAAUACAGAGGAUGCAAGCGUUAUCCGGAAUCACUGGGCAUAAAGCGUCUGUAGGUUGUUUAGUAAGUCUGCUGUUAAAGACUGGGGCUUAACCCCAGAAAAGCAGUGGAAACUGCUAGACUCGAGUGUGGUAGAGGUAGAGGGAAUUCCUAGUGUAGCGGUGAAAUGCGUAGAUAUUAGGAAGAACACCAAUGGCGAAGGCACUCUACUGGGCCAUAACUGACACUGAGAGACGACAGCUAGGGGAGCAAACGGGAUUAGAUACCCCGGUAGUCCUAGCCGUAAACGAUGGAUACUAGAUGUUGCACGUAUUAACCCGUGCAGUAUCGUAGCUAAGGCGUUAAGUAUCCCGCCUGGGAAGUACGCUCGCAAGNGUGAAACCCAAUGAAUUGACGGCNGAGACGNGCGACGACGACGACGAGGGAGGUAGG
rnacentral:rRNA from 1 species